rnacentral:rRNA from 1 species
UACGUAGGUGGCGAGCGUUGUCCGGAAUUACUGGGUGUAAAGGGCGUGUAGGCGGGAUUUUAAGUCAGAUGUGAAAACCCAAGGCUCAACUUUGGGACUGCAUCUGAAACUAAAGUUCUUGAGUAUUGGAGAGGAAAGCGGAAUUCCUAGUGUAGCGGUGAAAUGCGUAGAUAUUAGGAGGAACACCAGUGGCGAAGGCGGCUUUCUGGACAAAAACUGACGCUGAGGCGCGAAAGCGUGGGGAGCAAACAGG